rnacentral:rRNA from 1 species
UACGUAGGGAGCAAGCGUUGUUCGGAUUUACUGGGCGUAAAGGGCGCGUAGGCGGCGCGGUAAGUCACUUGUGAAAUCUCCGGGCUUAACUCGGAAAGGUCAGCCGAUACUGCGGGGCUAGAGUGCAGAAGGGGCAACCGUGGAAUUCUCGGUGUAGCGGUGAAAUGCGUGAGAUAGUCAAGAGGAACAGCCUGCGGCGAAGGCGGGUUGC